CAAGGAUUUCCUUCCCCAGACAACCAGUUUUCCUAUCAGCAACCUUUCCCCGUGUGCUCACUGGGUAAUGUUUUAUUUUAUAGUCUGCUUUCUAAGUCAGCGCAGUGGACAGCACGUUUUAGAAAUAGGAAGAGCAGAACGUGUUGGCCAUGCUACAGUCAGAAAGUGGAUUCCAUACGGGAUCUUGUUUGAAUCUCACUGUGACUCUGUGCCAUGCGAAGUAUUCUUUUUCUGCUUUACGCCUGAGCAAGUGAGGUGUAAGGUGUGAGGUUCGGGGUCAGGGGGCUGCCCAGUGUCACACAACUAAGUCUCCUGACUUCCAAAUCCAAGCUUUCCCUGUGCAUGGGCUGGGCGUGACCUCAGGGAGUUCCUGCAAUGUGAAGCAGUGAAGAGGGAGAGAGCCAAUGCCUUCCCCACCGCUACGUGCUGCUCUUCCUUCCUUCUUUCAACAAUUAUUUAUUGAGCUUCUACUGUGUGAAGGGUGCUGUGCUAGAGUAUGCUGUAAAAAAGCUCCAGAACUUUCAGAGGUCAGACACCAUUGCCCAGGCCAGGAACAAAGGAGUAGAAGAGGUAUCAGCUGCAAAGAUCUUCACUGGAGAGGUACUGCUGGAGGGUGAAGUUGGUGAGUCUUAAGCAGACUCCAUGCCCAGCAUGGAGCACAACAUGAGGCUCCAUCUCACAACCCUGAGAUUGUGACCUGAGCUGAAAACAAGAGUCAGAUGCUCUACUGACUGAGACACCCAGACACCUCAGAUCCCAAUAUUUCUUAAAUAAAACAUUUCUAGUUAGUUUGAAUAUACCUAAA
rnacentral:lncRNA from 12 species